GAUGAACGCUGGCGGCGUGCUUUACACAUGCAAGUCGAACAGCAGCACGGACUUCGGUCUGGUGGCGAGUGGCGAACGGGUGAGUAACAUAUCGGAACGUAUCCAAUAAUGGGGGAUAACGAGUCGAAAGAUUCGCUAAUACCGCAUACGCCCUACGGGGGAAAGCUAGGGACCUUCGGGCCUGGCGUUAAUGGAGCGGCCGAUAUCUGAUUAGCUAGUUGGUGAGGUAAAGGCUCACCAAGGCGACGAUCAGUAGCUGGUCUGAGAGGACGACCAGCCACACUGGAACUGAGACACGGUCCAGACUCCUACGGGAGGCAGCAGUGGGGAAUUUUGGACAAUGGGGGCAACCCUGAUCCAGCCAUUCCGCGUGAGUGAAGAAGGCCUUCGGGUUGUAAAGCUCUUUCGCAAGGGAAGAAAACUUAGUCUCUAACAUAGACUGAGGCUGACGGUACCUUGAUAAGAAGCACCGGCUAACUACGUGCCAGCCGCCGCCGUAAGAC
rnacentral:rRNA from 1 species